UAGGAUUCUAUCCUUGGUCCACAGCUUAUGAUGCUUUCACACACUAAAGAGUGGUCUCAUCACUUUAACCAGCACUUUCUGUGGACACCACUCAAAAUGAGAGUGCCUCUCAAAAGCUUCCGCCUCAUCUAUCCAACCGCCUGCCUAACAUUUUUACCUGAUGCCCCACGGGUAUAUGAAACUCAACAUGUCAAAAUGGCAUUUAAUCCUGCUGAAAAAUGGCUGAAGCCAAGUUUCCCUGCUUUGGGCACGUUCAAAUAGAAGGCAUUUUCCGCCUCUCCUGCUUCUGAGCACCUACGAAAUCCACACAUCCCCAAAAGACGCGUUGAGGUAGUAAGAGAAAGUGUCCUGCACUCGCCACCCUCCAGCGCUAAGAGCGGUAGAGGACCCCACAGCUUCGCACUUCCCCAGAGGAGCUCCUGCAGUAGGAAGCGCCUUCUAGCCUGGAAGAACGCUGGGUGCGACAGUUAUGCCAGGAACUUUCAAGAGUAUUCCCUUGGCUGGGAGCACGCAGUGCAUCGCCAAUGCUCCAACUUGAAAACUUUGACUCGGCCACAACCACCCCAUUCCAGUCUCACCCAUGCGGCGCUUUGUCCCCUGUUGGUGCUGAGGGCUUUUGAGAUCACCUGUCCCGCGCUCCCUACGUCCGAGGGACCGAGGCGAGGACCUGUCCCGCUGAGCCGGCACGACCCACGCGGGGCAGGCAGCACUUACGCGGCGCAGCCGGUGCUCCUCCCAGAGCCGCGGUACGCAAGGACCCCAGCCGGUUGUGCUUGCAGCGCUUCCCAAGUCAGGCAGAAGUGAGGCAGCCCCACCCAGUCAUGAGGACCCUGCAGAACUCCAGCCUUUAAGCGCUCCUUUAGGCUCACAUGACCCAGACCUAGAGGGCAAAAGGUACGUCGUGUCCCCACCUCCUGGUCCCAGAAACCUGUCCGCACCAAGUCAGCGCUUCCCAUGCUGGGUGGAAACUUAAAAAUUAAUAAAGAUCGUCGGCUGCGGUGCAA